UACGUAGGGGACAAGCGUUAUCCGGAUUUACUGGGCGUAAAGGGAGCGUAGGCGGAUAAUUAAGUGGGAUGUGAAAUACCCGGGCUCAACCUGGGUGCUGCAUUCCAAACUAGUUAUCUAGAGUGCAGGAGAGGAGAGUGGAAUUCCUAGUGUAGCGGUGAAAUGCGUAGAGAUUAGGAAGAACACCAGUGGCGAAGGCGACUCUCUGGACUGUAACUGACGCUGAGGCUCGAAAGCGUGGGGAGCAAACAGG
rnacentral:rRNA from 1 species